CAAUAGCGUAUAUUCAAGUUGUUGCAGUUAAAAAGCUCGUAGUUGGAUUUCUGGUGGGAGCGAUCGGUCUGGCGCUUAGCGCGAGUACUUGCAUCGUCUCCGGCCAUCCUUGGGGAGAGUCUGUCUGGCAUUAGGUUGUCGGGCAGAGGAUCCUCAUCGUUUACUGUGAAAAAAUUAGAGUGUUCAAAGCAGGCUUAUGCCGUUGAAUAUAUUAGCAUGGAAUAAUAAGAUAGGACUUUGGUACUAUUUUGUUGGUUUGCGCACCAAAGUAAUGAUUAAUAGGGACAGUUGGGGGUAUUCGUAUUCCGUUGUCAGAGGUGAAAUUCUUGGAUUUACGGAAGACGAACUACUGCGAAAGCAUUUACCAAGGAUGUUUUCAUUAA
rnacentral:rRNA from 1 species